CUGGUCUUGACAUCCACAGAACUUUCCAGAGAUGGAUUGGUGCCUUCGGGAACUGUGAGACAGGUGCUGCAUGGCUGUCGUCAGCUCGUGUUGUGAAAUGUUGGGUUAAGUCCCGCAACGAGCGCAACCCUUAUCCUUUGUUGCCAGCGGUCCGGCCGGGAACUCAAAGGAGACUGCCAGUGAUAAACUGGAGGAAGGUGGGGAUGACGUCAAGUCAUCAUGGCCCUUACGGCCAGGGCUACACACGUACUACAAUGGUCGGUACAGAGGGUUGCGAUACCGCGAGGUGGAGCCAAUCCCAGAAAGCCGAUCCCAGUCCGGAUCGAAGUCUGCAACUCGACUUCGCGAAGUCGGAAUCGCUAGUAAUCGCGGAUCAGCUAUGCCGCGGUGAAUACGUUCCC
rnacentral:rRNA from 1 species